UUCGUCUUUUAUAUUAGUUUUAGGCAUUCAAUGUUAUGAUGGAAAUUUCCAUUACAAUACUGGCACAUAAUCAUUAAAUUCUGAACGCAACUGUCAUGUGACAGUUGCUAAGUGUCAACACCGGUCAGAUUCUAUAUUUUAAUUACUACUCUAUGUUUGUUUGGUUUUUGUUGCUGUACAGUCGAGCAGCUAUAUGCCGACUAAUUCUUUAAAGCCGUGUAUUUUUAUAAAUGAAAUAAAAGGUUCCACCAGGAACAAUAUUUAAUUAUCUAAUCCUUUUAUGUGGCUAUGCUACAGUAUGCAAAAAAGGGAUAACAGAUAGAGCUAUGAGGGGCCAUACGGUUUUUAUAACGCUGAGUUACCGCCAAAGAAUUUUCCAAUCCUACUGCUUAGAAGCGAGGGACAGUUGGAGGCUGUUUUCUUUAAUACUAACACAUUAGAACAAUAUCUAAUAGUGUCAUUACAUAUAGAAAUAAUUUAAAGCUAACGCAGACCAAGGAAAAGUAUAAAGAUACGUAUGCAAAUAACGAUGAGUUCCCAAAACAACGUUUGACCUGGCUAGAAGUGACACUCGUGUAUUUUUCUUUGCGAGUGUACCCAUGCCGACAUAAUGUACUCCAUUGCCCCUCACUCAAAUAGGGUUGUCACAAAACAAUAAUGUAACUCA